UGAACAGACGAGUUCAGUUUCCGCCCGUGUGU
rnacentral:piRNA from 1 species